AUGAACGCUGGCGGCGUGCCUCAUACAUGCAAGUCGAGCGAACGGACGAGAAGCUUGCUUCUCUGAUGUUAGCGGCGGACGGGUGAGUAACACGUGGAUAACCUACCUAUAAGACUGGGAUAACUUCGGGAAACCGGAGCUAAUACCGGAUGAUAUUUUGAACCGCAUGGUUCAAAAGUGAAAGACGGUCUUGCUGUCACUUAUAGAUGGAUCCGCGCUGCAUUAGCUAGUUGGUAAGGUAACGGCUUACCAAGGCAACGAUGCAUAGCCGACCUGAGAGGGUGGGCGGCCAAAGCGGAAAGUAAACACGGGCCAGACCCCCUAGGGAGGGAAGGGGGGGGAAUUUGCGAGAAGGGGGGGAAGCCUGAGGGAGCAAGCCCGGGGGGGGUAAGAAGGUUUUCGGGACGUAAAACCUUUUUUUUGGGGAAAAAAAAUAUGUGAAAGUAACUGUGCACAUCUGACGGGAACUAAAUAAGAAGCCCCCGCCAACCUCGGG
rnacentral:rRNA from 1 species